rnacentral:rRNA from 1 species
AGAGUUUGAUCCUGGCUCAGAGCGAACGCUGGCGGCAGGCCUAACACAUGCAAGUCGAACGGAUCCUUCGGGAUUAGUGGCGGACGGGUGAGUAACACGUGGGAACGUGCCCUUUGGUUCGGAACAACUCAGGGAAACUUGAGCUAAUACCGGAUGUGCCCUUCGGGGGAAAGAUUUAUCGCCAUUGGAGCGGCCCGCGUCUGAUUAGCUAGUUGGUGGGGUAAAGGCCCACCAAGGCGACGAUCAGUAGCUGGUCUGAGAGGAUGAUCAGCCACAUUGGGACUGAGACACGGCCCAAACUCCUACGGGAGGCAGCAGUGGGGAAUCUUGCGCAAUGGGCGAAAGCCUGACGCAGCCAUGCCGCGUGAAUGAUGAAGGUCUUAGGAUUGUAAAAUUCUUUCACCGGGGACGAUAAUGACGGUACCCGGAGAAGAAGCCCCGGCUAACUUCGUGCCAGCAGCCGCGGUAAUACGAAGGGGGCUAGCGUUGCUCGGAAUUACUGGGCGUAAAGGGAGCGUAGGCGGACUGUUUAGUCAGAGGUGAAAGCCCAGGGCUCAACCUUGGAAUUGCCUUUGAUACUGGCAGUCUUGAGUACGGAAGAGGUAUGUGGAACUCCGAGUGUAGAGGUGAAAUUCGUAGAUAUUCGGAAGAACACCAGUGGCGAAGGCGACAUACUGGUCCGUUACUGACGCUGAGGCUCGAAAGCGUGGGGAGCAACCAGGAUUAGAUACCCUGGUAGUCCACGCCGUAAACGAUGAGUGCUAGUUGUCGGCAUGCAUGCAUGUCGGUGACGCAGCUAACGCAUUAAGCACUCCGCCUGGGGAGUACGGUCGCAAGAUUAAAACUCAAAUGAAUUGACGG